UCAGACAUGGUGUAAGGGAAACACAGCCUCCUGUUCUGGUGGUAAAGAGUGAAAUUGAGAGGCAGCCCAGGGUUCAACUCCCUGUGUCUGAA